rnacentral:piRNA from 1 species
UAUAACUACUGGCGAUAUUUACAUGAUAUA